rnacentral:rRNA from 1 species
GACGAAGGGGGCUAGCGUUGUUCGGAAUUACUGGGCGUAAAGCGCGUGUAGGCGGUUGCCCAAGUCGGGUGUGAAAGCCUUGAGCUCAACUCAAGAAAUGCACUCGGUACUGGGUGACUAGAGGACCGGAGAGGAUAGUGGAAUUCCCAGUGUAGUGGUGAAAUACGUAGAGAUUGGGAAGAACACCAGUGGCGAAGGCGGCACUCUGGCCCGGUACUGACGCUGAGGUGCGAAAGCGUGGGGAGCAAACAGG